AUUUCCAGGAAGUGACCUCACAAAGACUCAAGCUACCACUUACUGUUGAUUGUGAUGAAAUGCCAGCUGAGGCACACGCCUUGGGAGCUAAGUGGUUGCUGCCCUUGACUACUAUGAAGACUGGUGUGGGAAGGGUCGCUUUGGAUGCACUUGAGCAGGGGUCCCCAACCCCUGAGCCAUGGAGCCGUAAGGAGCCACACAGCAGGUGAGUGGUGUCGAGUGAGGGAGUGAGGGAAGCUUCGUCUGUAUUUACAGCCACUCCCCUUUGCUCACAUUCCCGCCUGAGCUCCACCUUCUCAGAUGAGCAGCAGCAUUAGAUUCUCAUAGGAGAACGCACCCUGUUGUGAACCGUGCAUGUGAGGGAUCUAGGUUGCGCUGUGCUUAUGAGAAUCUAAUACCUAUUGAUCUGUCACUUUCCCCCAUCACGCUCAGGUGGGACCAUCCAGUUUCAGGAAAACAAGCUUAACACGCCCACUGAUUCUACAUUAUGCUCCUACCUCCCGGCAGCCUCGCCAGGCCCAGAACUCUCUCCAGUCAGCCUCUACAGACCAAGCUCAUGACUCACAAUGGCCUAUUUAGGCCCAUACCCUACCUCACGGCAGUCUCCGCAGAUGAGCCUACUGCCUCACAACAGCCUCCACAGGCACAGCUCCAUCGUUACAAUGGCCUCUUUAGACCCAGCUCCUGCCUCCCAGCCUUCUCUCCAGGCCCUGAACUUUCUCCGUGGGACCAUCCAGUUUCAGGAAAACAAGCUUAACACGCCCACUGAUUCUACAUUAUGCUCCUACCUCCCGGCAGCCUCGCCAGGCCCAGAACUCUCUCCAGUCAGCCUCUAGAGACCAAGCUCAUGACUCACAAUGGCCUAUUUAGGCCCAUACCCUACCUCACGGCAGUCUCCGCAGAUGAGCCUACUGCCUCACAACAGCCUCCACAGGCACAGCUCCAUCGUUACAAUGGCCUCUUUAGACCCAGCUCCUGCCUCCCAGCCUUCUCUCCAGGCCCUGAACUUUCUCCGUGGGACCCUCCAGUUUCAGGAAAACAAGCUUAACACGCCCACUGAUUCUACAUUAUGCUCCUACCUCCCGGCAGCCUCGCCAGGCCCAGAACUCUCUCCAGUCAGCCUCUACAGACCAAGCUCAUGACUCACAAUGGCCUAUUUAGGCCCAUACCCUACCUCACGGCAGUCUCCGCAGAUGAGCCUACUGCCUCACAACAGCCUCCACAGGCACAGCUCCAUCGUUACAAUGGCCUCUUUAGACCCAGCUCCUGCCUCCCAGCCUUCUCUCCAGGCCCUGAACUUUCUCCGGUCUCCCUCUGUUAUCUGAGGCUGGAGGGUAGUAGUGCUAUCGCAGCUGACUGCAGCCUCAACCUUCCAGGCUGAAGCGAUCCUCCCAUCUCAACCUCCCACGUGGCUGAGACUACAGGUGCUUGCCACUACGCCCAACUAAUAUUUGGUAUUUUCGUACACGUGGAUUCCAGAGGGGUGACAGCGAAACGUGGGACCAUCCAGUUUCAGGAAAACAAGCUUAACACGCCCACUGAUUCUACAUUAUGAUUCUUCAGGCCCAGCAUCUGCCUCACUGUGGACCCCCCAAGCCAAGCUCCCAACCUUUCAGCAGCUUCUACACACCCAGCUCCCGCCUGCCAGUGGCCUCUUCAGGCCCAUGGGGCUCAUUCCUCACAACAGCCUUUCCAGUCCCAGUUUUUCCCUUCCGGCGGCCUCUCCGGGCUGAGAACCUCCUCAAGUCGGCCUCUCCAGACUCACUUGCACCCUCCAGGCGUCCUCUCCGGGCCAAGCUCCUCUUCCUGGCUGCGUCUCCAGGCCUGACUCCUGCCUCUCAACAACCUCUUUGGACUCAGUGCCUACCCAUCUCCUGGCAUCCUUGGUCGGCCCACAGCUUCCUCAAGCCAAGCUCCCCAGGCCCAGGUCAGGCCUCACGGUGCCCCCUCCACGAUGAGCUCCUGCCCUCCAAUGGCACCUGCAGGACCCAAAUGGUCUCCGGUCGGUGGGCUCCUCCACGCCAAGCUUGGGCCUCCCGGUGACCUCUGCAGGCCCAAAUUGUCCUGAAGUCGGCAUCUCCCAGCCAUGCCUCCCAGCAAGUAAGCAAGCUCUUUUGGCUCAACUCCUGCCCAGCUCCCAACCGCCUUUGUAGGUCCCGAACUUUCUCCAGCCAAGUUCUUUGGGCCUCAUUCCUGCCGCCCGGUGGCCUGUACGGGCCCAGCAAUGGUUGGAGAACGGCCUCUGCAGGUCCCGCUCUUGCCUCCCAGGGGCCUCUCCAGGCCCAGCUCUUGCCCCCACGGCGGCCA